GCGCGGGUGGGGUGGGUCGGGGUGGGGUGGGUGUAUAUAUAUACACAUAGAUUCACAUAUUCACAAGGGUAGCAACACCAACACAUGCCAAAAUACGUUGCAGAAUUCAACAUACCAUAAAUAUUGUACAACAGGGUUCUAAUACUUGAAGUCUAGAAUGAACAGAUCAUAAAUAUCAGGUAGCUAGGUUAAGGACAUGACAAGGAGGAGACAACGUCAUGACGAAUCCUUAGGAGCGAGAAGGGAAGGAGACAAGGAGGGGUGAUGGACUCACUCACCAAGAGGGGCGAGCGGCAGCACGGAGGCAGGAGGUGGGGUAUUGAUUGGUGGCGGGGGCGCGUGCACUAGGGGGUGAGCGGCGGCUGGGGGUGAGUGCUAGGGGGCGAGCAGCGGCCGGCGGCACGGAGGCGGCGAUUGGCGGCGGCCGGAGGUGGGGGCGGCGAGAUUCGUGCAAUUGCAACAGGUAGGAGGUAUAAAGGGCUGAGGAGGGGGUUUUAGUUAGGAGGUAUCGGAGAAGUAUCCAAAUUAUUUUAUUUAUUAAAAAAUCAUAAAAAUCUUAUGUCUCGGAUAUGUAUUCGAGGAGUAUCCGUGUCCGAUACAUUAUUGGAUACUGAUACGACUGCAUCUAUUGUUGUGCAGCAUUGAGGCUCCCGAUCCGUGCCACCAACAUGGUCAGGUUCUCCAAAAUCCUUUCCCACAUGCCAUCAACUUUCUUCUCCGCUACCUCCAUGGCUUGCAGGACAAACAAUGUCUACGUGGAUGGUUUUGGGUGGAGCCAUGGUGAUCGCACGUCAAGCUGUGCAAACCGAAGUUGGAUUUACGGGAUGUCUAUGUCUCGAUCAACCAGGACAAAGUGCGCGCCGAGGACCGGUGAACACUCGGAUUUAUUGCUCAAGCUGAAGGAAUGCCUUGAUCAACCAGGACAAAGUGCGCGUCGAGGACCGGUGAAUCUGAUACCAUUUGUUGCGCGUCGAGGACCGGUGAAUCUGAUACCAUUUGUUCCUACCCUUGGCUGUCGGUGAGGAUCACCGAGACGUGAGCAAGCAAAAUAAAGCGAUAGGUUUGAUGUGAGGAAGAAGAAGGAAUUGGGGAAAGUUCACUGCUUUUUUCAUACCAUCAACAGAGUUGCAAUGUCCGGUUAUAAACCCCCAGACAAUCACACAGCCCUUUGGGCCCCACACACCCCAACACAAGCCAAUACGUGCACGGCAGCGAAGCCUCUCGCGCCAGCUUCUUCUUCUUACUCUGAUUUCACUCUGUCAUUCCCGCCUCUGGUUCCCGCGCCUGACAGAUAGUCUAGUCUUGAAAAGAGAAUACUCUAACUUUAUGGUAGGGUUCAUACUCUAAACUUCAAAUAUGCAUUUUGCCUCCUUGAGUGCUUAUUUUAAUGUCACAAAACACUUGAGAUAAUGUGGCGCUUCUGUAGCUCUUUUCUUUACUCAACUUUAAUAGAAGAUAAAGAUUUGGGUACUCGAUCUAAUGCUGGCAGAGGUCUUGUAUGUUAAGCCAAUGUGCUGCUGAUACAGUUGAUGGGCAAAAUUAAUGGUAUAUUGGCCAAUGGGCAAAACUGAAAGGCUUCACCAACAGUAAGUUUGAAGAGUGGUUACUCCAGUAUCAUUCUGAUGAUGGAGCAUCUAAUAUAAUUCCCCUACGCUAAAGAGACAGUUUGAUAUCCUUAUAUUUCCUUAAUUCCCAAGAACACUGGUACUUCUAUAGUUUUGUUUAAGUAAACCAAUAUUUGCAAUUAUGUGAUACUUAUUUACUGGAUAAUUUGUAAUGUAGUAGAGCAUUGCAUAAGUUGUUUCCAGAAUUUGAGUAACCAUCUGUGAUGCAGAUCCUGAAACAAAGGAGCUUAUUAAGGAAACUCGUGAAAUUGGGCACGUGACCUAUGAACUCCAAGUCCAACUGCCUCAGCUCAGAUUUUUAGACAUGUGGGAACCUGCUGUUUUGGCAAUAAAGUGGGAAGGUUUUAGCAUUAAAUGUAAUGGGCAGCGUGGUGUUCUUGUCACAGAAAUUUCAGCAAGCGAUUUCUGUAUGUGCCUACUCUUUAGCAGUACUUAAGUUGAGAAAAGUUCAAUCGAAAAUUGCUGAUGAAAUCUAUUAGUUUCUUCAGUAAUUAAGUAGCACAUUGAUUUCCCAUGAUGGGCAUAAGGAAAACCAGUGGUUAAGUUGAUUCAUUGAAUCCCACAUGGAUGCAAAUUUCUUAACCCAGAUGUUUUCAAGAUAUUGGAUUUAUCAGUCCAGGAUAUGGUCUAUUACACUCGAACUAGAUGAUCUUUGUGUUCUUUGAUGUAUAGAUAUCAUCUGUAGUAUACAUGGGGAAAUAAAUUGGCUCGGCCAUAAACUGGCUGUUUCCAGGGUUCCUCUGGGAACAGGGAGUUUUGUGCCAGCAUUCAGUUGGCUUCUGGCAUAUUCUUCUUCAAGUUUCACCGUGGAUAAUGUGUUAUAGGGUCUGUACAGAUGAGUUACCAUCAGAAACCUGCUUGGUAACGACGAUUUUCAAAACCUUGCCUCAUCAUGCCCUUUAUAUCUGACUGUUAGGUGUGUUGAUAUUUUUUUUUUUUUUUAUGUUUGGGCACUGCUUCCUCGAUGAAGUGUCCCUUACAUUUCCAGAGCUUGGCAAACUCCCGUCAGAAAACGUUGACAGAGUUGAAAUGGUUCAUGCACAUUAGUGCAGUUACUUAAUUGAUGUACUAAAUAGCACUUAUGCUAAGUAACCACAAUUAUCUCUUAGUAUAUUUUCCCCAAAAUUAUUAUACUAAAUAGCACUUAUAGACAAACUAUCUCUUAGCAUUAUUUUCCCCACAAUUAUGCUAAGUAACCUUGUUCUUUGAUUUUUUUUGUUUUGUUUUGCAACUAUAAUUCAGUUUAAUUUAUCAGAGUCGUGCAAAAUAAACAUCCAGGUUAACACUGUUUUGCUUGGUAUUUGAAGUUUCUAGUUUGGCACCUUGUUUUACCUUUCAACUCUGUCUCUAAAAGUGCUUUCCUUUGACAUAUUCAGUUUAACCUGUGCAUGUAUUUUGCUUGUUAAAUAUGAAGUGCAAUUUACAACAAUGUGUGAUGCCUUAUCCAGAUUAAUAUUCCAUAUGGGCGUCCAACAGAGUUUUCGAUUACAUCUGCUUGUGGUGUUGAUUAUAAUCUAAUGUCAGCAGAAAAUACACUGAGUCCUAAAUCAGGCUUCUGUUUGCUUCACUAUAUAGUAGUACAACUUUAGUGCACACUUAAAUAUAUUAGCAGCAGGGCUCAGGGUCUACAAAUUUGAUCAAACAGCCGAAUUUGCUACCUCGCGAAUUUCCGAAUUUCGUGAAUAUUGGAAAAUUCGCUUGGUCAAAUUCAUAAAUUGGUAAAAAAUCUGAUCAAAUCGGCAUUUGUUAACCGCUCGAUUUGAACCGAAAGCCGAUCGAAUUGUAUCUAAAACCGACCGCAUUUUCUGAAUUGACCGUAUUUCAAACAAUUUUAUUGAAAACCGGUCGAAUUGAUCGAUUUACCGGGCGCAUUUUUUCAAAUUUCAGUGAAGUUCAAGGAAAAUAAAAAAUCAGAAAAAAUAGAAACAAAUAUGACAUGAGAUUUGCUAUGUUUUAUUUAAUGGUAUCAUCUACUUCAUGCAUAUAUCAUAGGGAAAAAAAUUAUAAAAAAUCAAGAAUAUUUUUGGCAUGACCUUUGCUAUAUUUGGACAUUUGUACUGUGCCAAAACGUGCCAAAACGGGUUGUUUACACUGUGUAUUUAGCCCAUAUCCACCUUUUCACUGUUUUGGUCUUUUUUCAAUCUACUUGUUUUGAAAUUUUUUUCCCAUAUAAUCAUAGAAUUGUCUCUAGUUUUUUAUGGAAUUUUUUUUAAAUCCGAUUUGAAUUUUUUGAGUUCAAAUUCAAAAACCGGUCAACUUCUGAAUUCGGUGCGGACCGAAUUGUCCAAUUUCUACAAAUAUCGAUCGAUUUUUAACUAAUUUUAGAACCCUGUAGGGCUCUCCAUGAUCGUGACUGGCAGGCUGCCGCCAGGAUCACCGCCUAUUUGUGUCAUGCACCUUAGGCAUGAGGAGAGAAAAUCCGGCAAGCUGAUUGCUGACAUUAAACUAUUUCAACGCUAUCUGCCUUUCACAGGAUGGUUCAAAAAUUCAACGGUAACCGAUCAAAAUAUGCGAUAACCGGGUAUCUCGUUUUGGCUCGGUUUCAGAAAUCGAAGGUAACCGAAUUUAAAUUAAAAAAAUAAAAAAAAAAUCAAAAAAUCCUAAAAAAAACUGGACACAAUUCUAAGAUCUUUUGUGAAAAAAUAUUUCAAAAAUAAUGUCGUUUGCAUCAUAUUCUAUAGAGAGGAAGUUUGAAAAAAUGAAAAAAAAUUGAAGUGUGCGGCUCAGUUAUUAACUCAUAUUAAGGAAAAGCUUAAUAUGUAAACACAUAUUUUCCUUGUGUAGAAUAAAUCUUAAGAGGAUCUUUAACAUUGAUUUCAGUUUAUUUAGAGUUUUAUUAAUCUCUAUGAUUUUUACAAAAUUCACAAGCAUAAAGUGAAUAUGUUAAGAAACAGCACUGUAAUUAACUUUUUAAUGUCUACUAUUAUUUUUUCUACGUAAUCAUAGUAUAAAUAAACUAAUAAAAAUAGUUUUACUAAUUUUUGAAGUAUGAUGGGACAGUUGUGAAUUAAUCUAAUCGCAACACAUUUACACAAUCCUGUAUGUUACAAUAACUAAUUCACGAGUUCAUAUCUUUUUAAAAGACAGGAUACAUUUCCUCACAGAAAAUUUUGAAUUUUUUAUGAGUAUAAAUACUUUUAUCAUGUAGAUCAUGUUACAAGAAAACCAACUAAAUUUGUUUUACUUGAUUUGAAGCUCACAUGAAUUAGUUAUUGAUUUUACAAGAUUGAGAUAAUUUUUGGGUUUUUUUAACUUCACUGAAAAUUGAGAAAAUCGCUUGAUAAAUUGAGAAAACCACUUUAUGAAUCGUUAAAAUCAAGCGGUUACUAAUAAAAUCGAGCGGUUACUGAUAAUGCGAAAAAUUUGAGAAAACUGCUCGAUAGAUUGAGAAAAUCGCUCGGUAAUCGAUCCAAUUCAACCGGUUACCGAGAGGUCAAUUUCACGAAUUUUUUCCUAAAUUUUAAAUUUUAUCAAACGAAUUUUGUUCGAAUUUUAUUCAAAUUUCAAACGGUUACCGCGAAUUUCGAUAACCGCUGGAGCUCGGUAACCGUUGAGCUAUCGGUAAGUUGAACCAUGUUCAACAGGCUGUUGAGAGGAGACUGAAGUGGAAGGAAGAUGGGCCUUUUCUUCAAGUAGAUUCUGCUCCAUAUACUUGUAUUUACGUUUUUUCUCUCGUAUGUAGAACUUCAGGUGAUAGGUGUGUGGCAUAUAUGUUGUGUUUUAUCUGUUGUAUAAUUCUAUACAAGUUCUUGUUGUAAACUAACCAAAGAACCCAAAUUGACAAGGUUCAUUUCUGCCCCCUGUGAAGAAGUGCAGCUCCUCGUUUCGCUUCCAGGGCUCAGUAGACAUCACUAAUGUAAUGGGCGAAUAGAAAAGGACGGCUCCUGAACAUGGCGCCGCUGAACUGGCUGCGUGGAGCCAAACGAGUCUCCCAGUUACUCUCGUACCUUCUUGAAGCAGUAUGUGUCAGUCACUUGCUGUUGGGAACUCUAAGACGGUUCAGUCCGGUCCACAGGUGUUCAGUAUUCCAAUGACUAUUGGGUACUGAAUGUGAGGUCAUUUGACACCACUUACCAAGUGCACUGUAGUAUGAACUUGGACACAUGGAGAAUGAAGAGUUCAACUCACCUGGAGCUGUACGGACAGUUAUACUGACACAAAGUCUCCAGUAAAGUCACACCUGAAAGACGACAUGCAACAGAGUUCAAACCUGAUCAGGAGUUGCUGUGCGUUGCGUACCAUACAAGACCGGGCAGGGUAGACGAGCAGCAGUGAAGUUAUGAAUUACGACCAGGGACAAGAAAAUGAUAGCGACAGUGAUUCUAAUUUGUUGUCAAGCUCAGCUAUCUCUUCUGCCGAGUAAGAAAGUCGGAAAGAGAUGGGAAGCAUUGUCAAGAACAACGUACAAACAGCGUGCCAUGCUGAGGGACAGUGUUGAUCGAUCGAUGCGCACAUAAUAUGGGGUGGUGGAUAUAUGUAUGAAACAUGGAUGGAGCUCAAUUAGGUCAGGGAUAAGAUUGAUUUCUUAUUAUUGGGAAGAAGGAAAAUGGAACGAAAGAAACGAAGAUACAGCACGUAAAAUGGCAGGUCCAUUCUGUGGUGUGCAUUAUUUGUGUCCUUUGUGGUCUAGACACUACUAGUUGACAAGCGGAUCCCCCUCUCGAUGCUCUUUUACUUUCCAUUUCGGAGAUGAUAUCAUCAUUUCUAAUUUUUCAUAGAA